CAUAAAAGUGAAGUAAACUCACACAACAUGUUCUGUAGGUCAGUAUCAAGCUGAAUGCUAAUGCUAAAGAUAACAAACUCCACUUAUAUGUGAUCUGCCCUGCUUAACCUCCAAGUUCACUUAUCAACGUGACAGAUUGCCACCAAAAUUUGGAUCAAGUUCCCAGGGCGCAAUCGCUUAUCUACAGUUAUUUGCUGAUUCUCAGAAAGCGGGUGUGACUCCUGACUCCCAUGGGAGAGCUGAGUCAGCGCCACCCCUUUCCUGCUUCCUCAGAUCCAGGAUCAGCCCUUCUAUCGUGCUGCUCAGAGCAAAGGACUAUACAAAUUUGUGUAUAAUUCUCUCAUACGGACCACUGGAUGUUCAACAUGGCACCUCAUGGCAAAGAACUCUCUGAGGAUUUGAGAAUUAGAAUUGCUCUCCACAAAGAUGGCCGAGGCUAUAAGAAGAUCAGUAACAACCUAAAACUGAGUUACAAUUGUAACCCAGCCUGUUAAGCUGGACAGUGGGACAGUGGCCAGGGUCAUACAGAGGUUUUCCAAGACUGGUUUCACUCAGAACAGGCCUCGCAAGGGUCGAUCAAAGAUGUUAGAUCCUUGUGCUGUGCUUCAGGGGCAGAAGCUGGCUUCAAAAAACAGAUGCAUGAGUGCUGCCAGCAUUGCUUUAGAGGUUGCAGAAGUGGAAGGUCAGCUUGUCGGUGCUCAGACCAUACGCCGCUCAGUUUGCAUGGCCAUCAUCCCAGAAGGAAGCCUCUUCUGAAGCUGGCUCACAAAAAGCCUGCAAACAGUUUGCUGAAGACAACCUGGCCAAGAGCAUGAAUUACUGGAACCAUGUCCUGUGGUCUGAUGAGCCUAAGGUAAACUUGUUUGGCUCAGAUGGUGUCCAGCAUGUGUGGCGAUGCCCUGGUGAGGAUAUAUUUAGAGGAUAGUACAUUUGCACUAAUAUACAAGCUGCACAUAGACUACUCUAAAAUAUAUCCAAGUUUCAUUUGCGUAGUAUUGUCCCUUGAGAAGAUAUACUAAAAUUGUUGCUGAAAUGUGAGGGGUGUACUCACUUUUGUGAGAUACUAUAUUUGUGGUUUACAGGGACACAAAUUUGUGUAAUGACAUGGGUAUGACAGAGAUAUUACAAUUUGAAGGUGGUUUAUGAGGACACUGCCUGUGUCCCCGAAAUUCAAAAGGCUUAAAAAACAUACUAAAUGGUGUUUUUUUUGAAAAUCUAAAAAUGCAGAAAGUUUCCUGUAAGGGGUAGGUUUAGGUGUAGGGUUGGUGUAGGGCAAUAGAAAAUACAGAUUGUAUGGUAUAAAAACCAUUACGCCUAUGGAGAGUCCCCGUAAACCACAAAUACCAACAUGUGUGUGUGUGUGUGUUUUAUUUAAUUUAAUUAACAAUGGCUUUCUAUCAAAAUUCCACAAACUCCCUGCAGUUCCAUCACAAACCUCGGUUACACUUUAUUUUGAUGGUCCCUUUAACACAUUCUGUUGACUAUAAGUAACAAUGCACUACAUUUCUACUAACUCUCAUUAGAGUGUUAGUAGAGUAUUAGUAGAUUGGUAGGGUUAGGGUUAGAAUAAGUUGACAUGUACUUGCAAAGUUACUUAUAGUCAGUAGAAUAUCUGUUGGGAGACCAAGAGUUGUGCAGAUAUGAAGCAGACAGUCUACUAAUAUUCUAAUGAGAGUUUGUUGACAUGUAGUUGCAACAUUACUUAGUGUCAACAGAAUGUUCAAAAGGGACCAUCAAAAUAAAGUGUUACCCAAACCUCUAGGGGUUCACAAUCACAAACCUUCAGCUGGGAAUCCCCUGAUCUAUAUUUUCCCAAGAGGGCUGUCUUUGCAAUUAUGAGUUACUUUCAAUAAAAAAAUUAAAAAAAAAAAAAAAUUCCGUUUUAAACUGAUUUGAAUAGUUUGCACAUGCUUUGAAAAAACAUACGUAAACUAGGAUGAUGGGCUCACUUUGAAGUUUGUGAACAGUGUUAUAGCCUACCUCCUGUGCGUGGUUGUAUCUCAGUGCAUAGGCAGUACAGCACAGGUCAAGGUUAGCUGAAAAGCUGAUAUUUCCUCUUUCUCAAAGUGUUGUUGCUCGACUGACUGUAAACAGAACAUUCCGAUCUCAUGGGAGGAGUGUGUCUGCGGCCCAGAGACACUCCUGCACAGCACACAGGCAAUCGCAAAACAUGUCUGUGUGCAUUUCUGCAGCUCGUGCUGAGCCCUCCAGCUGUUUUGAUCAUUUCACACAUGAAUUCUGACAUACUGUGUCAAUGGAUGGGAAAUAACACUGGCCUGUAAUGAUGCAAUAAUGAGCUUCUGUGCAACAGUUAAAGUUUGUCUAGUUGUUUACAACAUUUUGUACGUUUUUUGAGACUUUUUGGAACUUUAGUAGGUUUCAUGUAACAAGAACGUUAGGAUACAAUGUCUUCUGUCAGCAUACAGUGUUUAAAAAAUAAAAUAAAAACCCCAACAACAACACUAACUGUGCUGAUCUGGACAAAUCCCAUUUCCCUAUAUUUCAUCAGUUUCUCUGCCUUUGUUUCAGUUCUCUGUUCCCGAAUUUGUUGAGACAGCUAUUUAUAUUUAACAUCGUGUAAUGUGACCUUCAC